rnacentral:rRNA from 1 species
AUUCCAGCUCCAAUAGCGUAUAUUAAAGUUGUUGCAGUUAAAACGCUCGUAGUCGGAUUUCGGGGCGGCUUCGUCGGUCUGCCGAUGGGUAUGCACUGACGCGGGCGUCCUUCCUUCCGGAGACGCGUCCUACUCUUAGCUGAGCGGGGCGUGGAGACGGAUCGUUUACUUUGAAAAAAUCAGAGUGUUUCAAGCAGGCAUCAUCGCUCUUGCAUGGAUUAGCAUGGGAUAAUGAAAUAGGACCUUGGUGCUAUUUUGUUGGUUUCUAGAACUGAAGUAAUGAUUGAUAGGGAUAGUUGGGGGUGCUAGUAUCCAGCGGCCAGAGGUGAAAUUCUUGGAUUCGCUGAAGACUAACUUAUGCGAAAGCAUUCACCAAGGAUGUCUUCAUCA